rnacentral:rRNA from 1 species
AUGCACGCUGGCGGCGUACCUCAUACAUGCAAGUCGAGCGAACAGACGAGGAGCUUGCUCCUCUGACGUUAGCGGCGGACGGGUGAGUAACACGUGGAUAACCUACCUAUAAGACUGGGAUAACUUCGGGAAACCGGAGCUAAUACCGGAUAAUAUAUUGAACCGCAUGGUUCAAUAGUGAAAGACGGUUUUGCUGUCACUUAUAGAUGGAUCCGCGCCGCAUUAGCUAGUUGGUAAGGUAACGGCUUACCAAGGCGACGAUGCGUAGCCGACCUGAGAGGGUGAUCGGCCACACUGGAACUGAGACACGGUCCAGACUCCUACGGGAGGCAGCAGUGGGGAAUCUUCCGCAAUGGGCGAAAGCCUGACGGAGCAACGCCGCGUGAGUGAUGAAGGUCUUCGGAUCGUAAAACUCUGUUAUUAGGGAAGAACAAAUGUGUAAGUAACUAUGCACGUCUUGACGGUACCUAAUCAGAAAGCCACGGCUAACUACGUG